rnacentral:tRNA from 1 species
GGCGCAUUAGUCUAGUUGGCCUAGGACGCCGCCCUCUCAAGGCGGAGAUCGUGGGUUCAAAUCCCACAUGCGCUACCA